AGAGAAUGCAAACAGAAGUUCUCACAACUACCUUUGAGAAUGAGCACCAGACUAACCCAUUCCCUUGCUUGAUGUGUUAGAUCUGUGAGGUUGCCAUGCUCCAAAAUGCUGAGUAGGGUCAAGAGGUUGGUCUCCAGCCUGCCUUUUUGCAAUUUCAACCUCUUGCUUAUUCAGGCAUGUUAGAGACCCAUAAUGCCCAUACACAGGCCUGACCCAUAACAAGUAUCAGCCGUUAUUUCUUUUGUAGGCUUCUUCAUUUCCCAUUGUAAAAGUUGUAUGCUCAUUGCGUUAUUUCUCAUUGCUGUGACAAACCCUUCCUCUCUAUAGCAGUGCUACAGAAGCAUAAAGGGAACAGAGUUGCAGAUGGAAGACUGUAAACGGACUUAAGUACAAAUUCAAAAUCCCCCUAGGUGGUCAUGGGAUGCUACAACUGGAUCAAUUUGCUGAUAAAGGUGCUCAUUCGAGCUGAAGGAUUUAAUAGAGAAAAAGCAGACUAAGAAAUAGAAUAUUUAAACACUUCAAGUCAUUUCCUUGGAAAGGCUUUCUGCAUCUUGUUGGAGGAGCGAGUCAUCUUCCUGUGUGAAAUGUUCAAAGCUCAUUUCCGGAGCAAGAAAACUUUUCCUAGAGGGCUCCUCUCACAAACAGAGUUGGGGCCACAGUCUCAUUCUAAACCAAUCACUGACAAAAGAGGAUUGAUUGAAUAACUGUUGGGCCAACCAGAUUCACCCAUGGAGGUGGUCAGCUUCU
rnacentral:lncRNA from 13 species